rnacentral:rRNA from 1 species
GGUCAAGCUACAAAGGGCGCAUGGUGAAUGCCUUGGCAUCAGGAGCCGAUGAAGGACGCGAUAAGCUGCGAUAAGCUUCGGGUAGGCGCAAAUAGCCUGAGAUCCGGAGAUCUCCGAAUGAGGAAACUCACAUGGGAAACCCCAUGUAUCCUGUGGUAAAUACAUAGCUGCAGGAGGGUAAACCCAGGGAACUGAAACAUCUAAGUACCUGGAGGAAGAGAAAGAAAAAUCGAUUUUCUUAGUAGCGGCGAGCGAAAAGGAAAGAGCCCAAACCGGAAACUUGUUUCCGGGGUUGCGGACAGAGCAUAAAAUACAGGACAUGAUUAAUUGAACACAGCUGGAAAGCUGGGCCAUAGAGAGUAAUAGCCUCGUAAGUAAAAGUCAUUAAUGUCAGCUCUGAUCCAGAGUACCACGAGACACGUGAAACCUUGUGGGAAGCAGGGAGGACCACCUCCCAAGGCUAAAUACUACCUGAUGACCGAUAGUGAAGAAGUACCGUGAGGGAAAGGUGAAAAGAACCCCGGGAGGGGAGUGAAAUAGAAUCUGAAACCGUGUGCCUACAACCGGUCAAAGCACCAUAUGAGUGUGAUGACGUGCUUUUUGUAGAACGAGCCUGCGAGUUACGGUAUGUAGCGAGGUUAAGUACUUAAGGUACGGAGCCGAAGGGAAACCGAGUCUGAAAAGGGCGACUAGUUGCAUGCCGUAGACCCGAAACCGGGUGACCUAUCCAUGGCCAGGUUGAAGCGGAAGUAAAAUUCCGUGGAGGACCGAACCACGUUGGUGUUGAAAAACCAUGGGAUGAGCUGUGGAUAGCGGAGAAAUUCCAAUCGAACUCGGAGAUAGCUGGUUCUCCUCGAAAUAGCUUUAGGGCUAGCGUCGGAUGUGAGUAGCGGAGGUAGAGCACUGAAUGGGCUAGGGGGCGUAUAGCUUACCGAACCUUAUCAAACUCCGAAUGCCGCAUACUAUUAGUCCGGCAGUCAGACUGCGACAGAUAAGUGCCGUAGUCAAAAGGGAAAAAGCCCAGAUCGUCAGCUAAGGUCCCUAAGUAUAGAUUAAGUGGUAAAGGAUGUGGGAUUUCGAAGACAACUAGGAUGUUGGCUUAGAAGCAGCCACUCAUUGAAAGAGUGCGUAAUAGCUCACUAGUCGAGAGAUCCUGCGCCGAAGAUGUCCGGGGCUAAAAUCUAUCACCGAAGCUACGGGUUGACACGUAAGUGUCAGCGGUAGGGGAGCGUCCUGUAUGGGCUGAAGUCGUACCGAAAGGAGCGGUGGACUGUACAGGAGUGAGAAUGCAGGCAUAAGUAGCGAGAAAUGAGUGAGAAUCUCAUUGGCCGAAUACCUAAGGUUUCCUCAGGAAGGCUCGUCCACUGAGGGUUAGUCGGGACCUAAGCCGAGGCCGAAAGGCGUAGGUGAUGGACAAUCGGUUGAUAUUCCGAUACUACUGUCAAUCGUUAUUACCGAUGGCGUGACGCAGGAGGAUAGUGUGUGCUAGCUAUUGGAUGCUAGUCUAAGCAUUUAGGUAUACAGGAUAGGCAAAUCCGCCUGUAUAAGCUGAGAUGUGAUGGGGAAGGCUCUACGGAGCCGAAGUACAUGAUUCCACGCUGCCAAGAAAAGCGUCUAGGGAGAAAGAUAGUACCCGUACCGCAAACCGACACAGGUAGGUGAGGAGAGAAUCCUAAGGCCGACGGAAGAAUUGCAGUUAAGGAACUCGGCAAAUUGACCCCGUAACUUCGGGAGAAGGGGUGCCAUGGAGACAUGGCCGCAGAGAAUAGGCCCAAGCAACUGUUUAGCAAAAACACAGGUCUCUGCUAAAGCGAAAGCUGAAGUAUAGGGGCUGACGCCUGCCCGGUGCUGGAAGGUUAAGGGGAUCACUUAGCGCAAGCGAAGGUGUGAACUUAAGCCCCAGUAAACGGCGGCCGUAACUAUAACGGUCCUAAGGUAGCGAAAUUCCUUGUCAGGUAAGUUCUGACCCGCACGAAUGGCGUAAUGACUUGGGCACUGUCUCAACUGCAAAUCCGGCGAAAUUGUAGUGCAAGUGAAGAUGCUUGCUACCCGUGGUUGGACGGAAAGACCCCGUAGAGCUUUACUGCAGCUUAGCAUUGAGUCUCGGUAUUGUCUGUACAGGAUAGGUGGGAGACAUGGAAGCAGGAUCGUCAGGUCCUGUGGAGUCAUCCUUGGGAUACCACCCUGACAGUACUGGGAUUCUAACCGGACGCCAUGAAACUGGCGACGGGACAUUGUUAGGUGGGCAGUUUGACUGGGGCGGUCGCCUCCUAAAAUGUAACGGAGGCGCUCAAAGGUUCCCUCAGAACGGUCGGAAAUCGUUCGAAGAGUGUAAAGGCAGAAGGGAGCCUGACUGCGACACCUACAAGUGGAGCAGGGACGAAAGUCGGACUUAGUGAUCCGGUGGUACCUCGUGGGAGGGCCAUCGCUCAACGGAUAAAAGCUACCUCGGGGAUAACAGGCUGAUCUCCCCCAAGAGUCCACAUCGACGGGGAGGUUUGGCACCUCGAUGUCGGCUCGUCGCAUCCUGGGGCUGAAGUAGGUCCCAAGGGUUGGGCUGUUCGCCCAUUAAAGCGGCACGCGAGCUGGGUUCAGAACGUCGUGAGACAGUUCGGUCCCUAUCCGCCACGGGCGCAGGAAAUUUGAGAGGAGCUGUCCUUAGUACGAGAGGACCGGGAUGGACUGACCUCUGGUGCACCAGUUGUUCCGCCAGGAGCACAGCUGGGUAGCUAUGUCGGGAAGGGAUAAACGCUGAAAGCAUCUAAGCGUGAAGCCUACCUCAAGAUUAGAUUUCCCAUAGCGUAAGCUAGUAAGACCCCUUGAAGAACACAAGGUUGAUAGGUCAGAGGUGUAAGCAUGGCAACAUGUUCAGCUGACUGAUACUAAUAGGUCGAGGGCUUGACCAA